AAUUUCUACGCGCACCGGAAGACGGAGGUCCUCUUUCCUUGCCUAACGCAGCCAUGGCUCGUGGUCCCAAGAAGCAUCUGAAGCGGGUGGCAGCUCCAAAGCAUUGGAUGCUGGAUAAAUUGACCGGUGUGUUUGCUCCUCGUCCAUCCACCGGUCCCCACAAGUUGAGAGAGUGUCUCCCCCUCAUCAUUUUCCUAAGGAACAGACUUAAGUAUGCCCUGACAGGAGAUGAAGUAAAGAAGAUUUGCAUGCAGCGGUUCAUUAAAAUCGAUGGCAAGGUCCGAACUGAUAUAACCUACCCUGCUGGAUUCAUGGAUGUCAUCAGCAUUGACAAGACGGGAGAGAAUUUCCGUCUGAUCUAUGACACCAAGGGUCGCUUUGCUGUACAUCGUAUUACACCUGAGGAGGCCAAGCCUUGUUAACAGCAGGCUGGAGGGCACGUCCAGUGGGAUCUGUGAUUAUUUGAUUUACUUCAAGGAUAUCAGGGAGUAGAGAUCCAAAAUUGAAAUGCUAUGUGAAGUAUUUGUUGAUUGGAUGAACUGGUAAUGUAAUUGCUGUUUGUGAGACAAAACUCAGUCGUGAUGUACAGGGAGC
rnacentral:sRNA from 1 species